UACAGAGGUGGCAAGCGUUGUUCGGAAUUACUGGGCGUAAAGGGCGCGUAGGCGGCCCGUCAAGUCCCGUGUGAAAGCCCCCGGCUCAACCGGGGAACUGCACGGGAAACUAGCAGGCUUGAGUUCGGGAGAGGGAAGCGGAAUUUCGGGUGUAGCGGUGAAAUGCGCAGAUAUCCGAAGGAACACCCGUGGCGAAGGCGGCCCCCUGGGUCGGCCCUGACGCUGAGGCGCGAAAGCGUGGGGAGCGAACGGG
rnacentral:rRNA from 1 species